rnacentral:rRNA from 1 species
GAUGAACGCUGGCGGCGUGCCUAAUACAUGCAAGUCGAGCGAACAGAUGAGGAGCUUGCUCCUCUGACGUUAGCGGCGGACGGGUGAGUAACACGUGGAUAACCUACCUAUAAGACUGGGAUAACUUCGGGAAACCGGAGCUAAUACCGGAUAAUAUAUUUAACCGCAUGGUUCAAUAGUGAAAGACGGUUUUGCUGUCACUUAUAGAUGUAUCCGCGCCGCAUUAGCUAGUUGGUAAGGUAACGGCUUACCAAGGCAACGAUGCGUAGCCGACCUGAGAGGGUGAUCGGCAACACUGGAACGGAGACACGGUCCAGACUCCUAGGGGAGGCACCAGUAGGGAAUCUUCCGCAAUGGGCGAAAGCCUGACGGAGCAACGCCGCGUGAGUGAUGAAGGUCUUCGGAUCGUAAAACUCUGUUAUUAGGGAAGAACAAAUGUGUAAGUAACUAUGCACGUCUUGACGGUACCUAAUCAGAAAGCCACGGCUAACUACGUG